rnacentral:rRNA from 1 species
GACGAACGCUGGCGGCGUGCCUAAUACAUGCAAGUAGAACGCUGAAGGAGGAGCUUGCUUCUCCGGAUGAGUUGCGAACGGGUGAGUAACGCGUAGGUAACCUGCCUGGUAGCGGGGGAUAACUAUUGGAAACGAUAGCUAAUACCGCAUAAGAGUAGAUGUCGCAUGACAUUUGCUUAAAAGGUGCAACUGCACCACUACCAGAUGGACCUGCGUUGUAUUAGCUAGUUGGUGAGGUAACGGCUCACCAAGGCAACGAUACAUAGCCGACCUGAGAGGGUGAUCGGCCACACUGGGACUGAGACACGGCCCAGACUCCUACGGGAGGCAGCAGUAGGGAAUCUUCGGCAAUGGACGGAAGUCUGAACGAGCAACGCCGCGUGAGUGAAGAAGGUUUUCGGAUCGUAAAGCUCUGUUGUAAGAGAAGAACGAGUGUGAGAGUGGAAAGUUCACACUGUGACGGUAUCUUACCAGAAAGGGACGGCUAACUACGUG